AGCGAACGCUGGCGGCAGGCCUAACACAUGCAAGUCGAACGAAGUCUUCGGACUUAGUGGCGGACGGGUGAGUAACACGUGGGAACGUGCCUUUAGGUUCGGAAUAACCCAGGGAAACUUGUGCUAAUACCGAAUGUGCCCUUCGGGGGAAAGAUUUAUCGCCUUUAGAGCGGCCCGCGUCUGAUUAGCUAGUUGGUGAGGUAAAGGCUCACCAAGGCGACGAUCAGUAGCUGGUCUGAGAGGAUGAUCAGCCACAUUGGGACUGAGACACGGCCCAAACUCCUACGGGAGGCAGCAGUGGGGAAUCUUGCGCAAUGGGCGAAAGCCUGACGCAGCCAUGCCGCGUGAAUGAUGAAGGUCUUAGGAUUGUAAAAUUCUUUCACCGGGGACGAUAAUGACGGUACCCGGAGAAGAAGCUCCGGCUAACUUCGUGCCAGCAGCCGCCGUAACAC
rnacentral:rRNA from 1 species